AAGAGACAGCAGUCGCCACGGUAAUACGUAGGGUGCGAGCGUUAAUCGGAAUUACUGGGCGUAAAGCGUGCGCAGGCGGUUAUGUAAGACAGAUGUGAAAUCCCCGGGCUCAACCUGGGACCUGCAUUUGUGACUGUAUAGCUAGAGUACGGUAGAGGGGGAUGGAAUUCCGCGUGUAGCAGUGAAAUGCGUAGAUAUGCGGAGGAACACCGAUGGCGAAGGCAAUCCCCUGGACCUGUACUGACGCUCAUGCACGAAAGCGUGGGGAGCAAACAGGAUUAGAUACCCGAGUAGUCCCUGUCUCUUAUAC
rnacentral:rRNA from 1 species